GCAUGUCAGUUUCAGAUAGUGGUGUUUCACUUCCAAACCACGGCCGAUCAGGUUUUGUCCAUCUGUACCACUUCCAUUUGAUUCUUAGAGCUCGGCUAAAUCGAUGCAGAUCAAGGAUCCCAAGCCCUCCUUUAACAAUAAAGAGGGACAUGUGAGGAGAGAAUUUUAUCCCAACAAUAAAGGUUUUAAUAUACCCUCCUUUAACCUUCAAUAAUCGGUCCCCACUUUUUUAUUUUGCAAAGCACAUGCAGGCGCUCAUAUACACAUACAUGGAAAAGACCUCUACAUGCCCAUAUGGUCACAUGGUCUAUUUCUACGUAGGUACAUUUACCCUCUAUGAACCCAUACAUGCAUGAAAAAGAUGUUACCCCUACAAUCAUGCACCUUCGAUAACUAGUUGUAAAUGUAAGUACCCAAGCUAAGUCAUAACCUUGAUUCGUCUGAACAAGUUCUGCCACAUAACCAACGAGUACAGAGACAAAAAAAAAAACUGCAUUCAUAUGAGUUGAAAUGUAACAGGUUCCACCGUUCCAGGUGGCACUAGGGGAUCGAAGGACGACGCCCCAAACCUAAUCCACGAGAUGCCAUUUCCAAUGCGUGAGGAAGACAUGCACUGGCCGUGAUGUAACCUUGGGGUCUGC
rnacentral:lncRNA from 1 species